ACACAUUCAGGGGACACUUAAGACUUAUAUUACAUCUUUUGAAAACAUGUUCCUCGGCUCCUUUAAGCUAUAAUUUGUAAAAUGUUAAAAUACCAUUAUUAAAAUAUUACAUGAUUAUUUUAAAUGUUAGUAUUAUUAUUAAAUAUUAUUUUGUGUAUUUCGUGUUCUUUAAAUGCAAGCCACCAUUUUUGUUCCGAAAAUGUUACUCUUUAACACAAUACAUAAAUUGAGAUGUGGUGAAAUGUUUGUUAUUUUCAGAAAAAAAAGAAAUACAGAAUUCUCCAAUGGUGCAUUUAUAUCCACUGUAGGACAUUGCUCGCUGACAAAUUUAAACUUAAAUUUGAGGUUUUUUUAAAAGUCAAGGUGGAAGAAGCUCUGUUGCCAGUUAAUCGUUUAAAUUGGCAUUGUGACACCAGCAAAGCAGGAAGGUUGGCAGAGGAAGGCAAAAUAAAAAUCUAAUUACAGUGUAGUGCAGGAAGCUUCACUGUAAGCUCCAUUAUGCUAACAGCAGGUACUGGUGCUUUUAGGGUCACUUUAGUCCAUCAUUUUUUUUUUUUUUUUUUUUUUGGACACAAAUGAAAACUUCUGUAUAGGAAUGCUGUAUUGCUUUUUGUGUGUCCAAAAAUCUGGGGCUUUCACACUAACUCUCAAAGUAAGAUAACAUUAUAGGAGAGCUUGAAUAAUUCUCUAUGAAUACGUAAAUGAAUUUACAGCUCCUCCUCAUUGCACUUUCCAUUUGUUGAUGUAAGAUAAGACUCAUUGCACUUGGAAAAUGGCAAAGCUCAAUUCCCACUGUUUGUUUAGGAAAUGUGAGCUGCCUUCCAUACAUCCAAUUAAAAUGAGCAAAUUCAAUCUGUGCGCUUCCACAGAAAUCAUCUUCGUACUGAUUAACAGUCAAAUGUUUGUGUUUGAGUCUUUCCGCCGCUGUGGUUUCAUAUUCAACUGGACGAGGUGGCGGCGACGUUCGAUUUGAGGGUGUCGUCGUUAAGGUGCGGACCACAAACCGAUGAACCUAAGUUGGUGUGGGCAGCUUGUCCGCCAUUGGUGGACGGGUGCUUUCUCAUCACAAGGGACACUGGAGCAGAUUGUGCUGAUAAAAGCUAACGCGGUCUAGCGACCAGACGAGGCCAGAGCAGAGGUGGCCACCCCGCUGCUAUGCAACACAGUCUUUGAAAAUGUGAUUCAGCUGUUCCCUCCUGUCGGCUCGCAUUAAUCUCUCGCAUGGAGAGUAGAGAUUCUGCGAAAAGACACGUGAGUACAUGGAAAACAAUUUUGGAGUGCACAAAAGCUUUCUGAGAAGAGUAAUCUACAUUCGUAGAGAAUUUGUGUCAAAAACCACCAGGGCAGCAGGCACUUUACGCUAUAAUCAAGAAAGCAAUCACAGAUGGAUUGACUUGUUUCUUUUUGAGUCUGUCCACAUUUAGAAAUAGGUCAGAGUCCUUUGAAGCCUAAAUGACUGCUCGGGAUAUUUGUUUUCAAAAACAAAUGCCGUUUAAGACCCUUAAAGCAUAUUUACAUGGCGAAACCUUCCAGGAUCACGGCACCCACGCAUGCAGAAUCGUUGCCAAGGAGCUUGAAAGUCUUUGGUCCCCAUCCAAUAUUGUGUGGAAAAGAGCAGCAUGAUCAUUCUUGAAAACAUCUCCUUUUGUGUUCCACAGAUGAAAGAAAGUUGUACAGGUUUGAGGGAGCUUAAUAGUCUUUGGUUCCCAUCCACUUCAAUUGUAUGGAAAAAAGCAGCAUUUUGAUUCUUUGAAACUUCUCCUUUUGUGUUCCACAGAUGAAAGAAAGUUUCAACUACAGGUUUGAGGGAGCUUAAUAGUCUUUGGUUCCCAUCCACUUAAACUGUAUAGGAAAAAAAGCAGCAUGAUCAUUCUACAGAACUUCUCCAUUUGUGUUCCACAGAUGAAAGAAUGUUGAACAGAAAAAAAAUUCCACCUUCCUGUUGGGAAGUAAUGCAAAUGACACUUGAAGACUGCACAAACAUGGCAGCACCCAGAGAGAUGAUAAAUUGAUGAUAAAUAUUGACUUUCAAGCAAAUAAAAUGCAUCACUGAGUCAAAUUUCCAACAUGAUUUGGUAAUGAAACCAGGUGGGUAAAAAAUGGUAAAUCGUCCUGUUGAUAAUCACACAUGCUAGCAUUGCAGUUGAUUUCGCUCUGAUGAUAAUCAAACCUGCAAAGCUAAUGUUAGCAAAUCUUUUUUUGAUUCCUUUUAAAAAAACUAAUUGGGUAAUGGAUCAACUUCAUGGCUGGAAUAUGUUGGAAUAUUUCACAUUUUAAAUGGUACACAGUACAGGCAGAGCAACAUGAUAUUUAACCAAUCAAAUUCUGUCCUCUGAAUAUUCUGUUUUACUCAGUAAAGAAGUUAAAUGUUUUGCAGAAUGUCAUUUUAUAAGAGAUUUCGACUGGAAAAGGAAGAAAAAGAGGGUCAUGCACCACACCACCAGGCUUAAAUCUCCAAAACGACACACACCCACAUGAGUAAUAGAGCGUUCCUCUGUUGUGAUAUAAUAGCAUGUUGUACAACACUGAGUCAAUGUUAGGGAUGGACCUGAAGAGGAUUAGUUUGGCUCAGCCAGCGAACUGUACAUUAACAGAUAGACCAGAGAUCCCUGAGGCUUCCGAAAGCCGCUGUUCUGAUGGCUCUGCCCUGUCUACAUGGCCUAAUUCACUAUGAUGCGUAUUGAUUAAGUGUGCAGUGGAAAUACUCGUUCCUCUGAAGCAAACAUUCACACUCAGUUUGUUCUGAGCUUAUAUUUUUGUUUUGAAAUAAAGUUUCUCUUGAGAAUUUGAAGAAAAAAGCAGUGACCUAUCUGUUUAAGCAUCCAUUCAUCAGUUGGAGGUUUUGGGGUUAGUAGACAGCAAAAAAAAAAAAAAAUAAAUAAAUAAAUAUGGCUAUGGUGUAACCAUUUUGUCUCCAUUAAUUCUUGUUGCUCUUCUUUCCACCAAACACCCUGCAGGACCUGCAAACACGGGAUGCUUAUCUGAGACCGAGAGGUUGUUGGCUGCAGGAUUUUACUUUUAACUUUAUCUUGAGUUGAGACCCUGGCACAAACAUGCUGCUGGAGCAUUGGUCCCCAAAGAUAAGAGAGACAGAGAUGCAUGUAGGGAAAGAGAGCGGCACCGACACCUGCUUUGACCAAACACAGGUUUCUGUCUUGAGAGCCACCCUUUGAACUAUAAAAUAGCUUAUACCCAGCUAACCAAAAACAAGCUAUGAGGUUUUUGACCAGCAAAUUUCGGAGGAUUUCAGACAUACGUGUUUUAUCUUUCAUUAGAAUGGCAGAGUCUGUGCAUCAUUAACGUUUUGAUCAACUUACGGAUUAGAAAGUUUACUGUAGCUAUGUGGGUGCUCUUUUUUUUUUUUUUUUUUGUAAUUUGGCCAAAAUCAAAAAUGUUAUUAAAGACAAAGUACUAUGCAUAGGCUUAGUUAAUACAGUCCUGGCUAUGACUCGAUGACAAAUGCUAGAGUGAGACACUCUUCCAAAGUCCCUUUCAAGGAAAGUCUGUUCACUCAGUGGCCAUAUUUGCAACGCCUCCAGACUGCUAUUUCAGGCAUCCAAGACAUAUCUACUUGAAUGGGGUAAUACUGAAAAUCUCAAAAACUGCUAGACAAACUCACAAAAUUUUACAUAAGCUGUCUCAUUAAUGUUGUUUCUCAUGUUUAAAUAGUGUUAAAAAAGUGUACUUUUCAGGCUAGACCAGCCAAUGUGUAUAUGUACAGUCCUAAGUGUGUGUCUUAGAACAAUGAUGACUUGUGAUGACUUUAUCAAUCAGCGAUUGGCUGUUUUAUUUAGAAGGUAGGACAGAUUGCGCAUUGCACUUUAGUAAUAUGAGUGCACUGUCUUUGUAUAUCUAAGCCUUUGCCUCUUCUCUGCUCCUCAAAUACAUAAAACAUUAGCCUUUAUAUAGUGCUUCUUGAGUAAAGAAAAUGCUGUACUAUUUCAAAGAACCAGUUCUUUAUUUACCCCUGCAUUGUAAACAAGCAGAGAUGAUUCAAAUUGCGUGCAGCACUUCGUUCACGAUAGAGGUGGGUGGAGUUAUGAGGUUUGACUGACAGUUUGAGGAUCCAGUUUUAGUCACAAACUCUUUUUCAUUGGUUAAAUAUUUGCAAAACUCACAGACAGAUGUAAAUGGUAACCAAUAGUAUUGAUUUAUGAAAAAAAAAAUGAAAAUGAUGAAAUAUGGAGAUGAGGUUUCCGCCCUACAAUGACGUAUGUUCUAAGAAUGUUUUAGUUACGUUCCCAUUAAGUUAAGAAAAUGUUAUUUCGUAAUAUUCUCUGAACGUUCAAAACGUCUAGUUUUUUUAAAAAGCCGUUUUUUUUUUUAAUGUGAACAUUAAA